rfam:Triticum aestivum genome assembly, contig: Triticum_aestivum_CS42_TGACv1_scaffold_129483_2BL
AUCGUACUCCCUCCGUCCGGAAAUACUUGUCAUUAAAAUGGAUGUAUCUAGAUGCAUUUUAGUUCUGAAUACAUUCAUUUUCAACCAUUUUGAUAACAAGUAUUUCCGGACGGAGGGAGUACAAG